CAGACUAACCUCAUUUAUUAAAAUAGAUUCAAAAGUGUAACACAAUAAAAAUGCUAACACACGAUUAAAUAUGCACAUUUGAAUUAAUCCCUUUAAUUGAUAAUGCUUGAGUUGAUUCUGCCUUGUUUUCCUAUUACUAAGAAAAUUCUUUCCACCUGCCCCUCCUAAGUAUUAUUUUGUUAUUCACUGCUUAUGCUUUUUGUUUUGUUUAUUAUUCCCUUGUUCAAGGCAAUUCUGUAAACUUCAUUUCUACAGGAAAUGUUAAACUACAGCAUAAUUGUGAGCAAGAAAGUGACUUACUACACUGGACCUUUACCAGGAUCGUUCUGUCCUUGGCAUGCAGAAUGUAUUCCAAGGGAAGAAGACAUACUGGAAAACCAGUUAGAACGCGUCCAUGAGAUGGACAGUGUGUGCGAUGACCAAGAUGUGAGUAAAUUAUCAUGAAGUCAUUAGGGUGGUCCCUAAUCCAGUAAGGCCUUAUAAGAUGAGAAGAAAUAACAGACACAAAUGUACAGAGAGGAGAAUGCCAUGUGAUGACAGAGGCAGAGACAUGAAUAAUGUGUCUACAAGCCAAGGAAUGUCAAAGACUGCUAGCAACACCAGAAGCUAAUGUGAAAAAACAAUUCUCCCUAGAACUUCCAGAAAGAGCAUGGGCCUGCGGACACCUUGAUUUCAGAAUUUUAUUUAGCCUCCAGAACUGUGAGACAAUAAAUUUAUUAUUGUUUUAAGUCAGUCGGUUUGUGGUAAUUUGUUAUAGCAACUCUGUAACAUUAAUAUAGGUAAGUAACCUAACUUAUUCCCAUUUCAGGAUUUUCCCUCUUUAGAGAGACAUAAUAACUCCUGUUGAAAAUUUAGAAUCUCUGUAGUCUGAGUUUCCUCAUCAGCAAAAUAGGAAUAAUAAUAAUAUCCUGUCACAAUGUUGUAAGAAUUAAAUGAGAAUUAAUAUGUGUAAAGCACUUCACCUGUACCUGAAACAUAGAAAAGGUUUCCUAAGUAUUUGUCAAUUUAUUAUUAAAUUUCAUAACCCAUGGAAUAUGCUUGACAUAGUGCCAAAAACAUGUAAGUUUUUGUUAAAUAUUAUUAUUCUGAUUAACUAACAGUUAUCUAAAAUACUUACAAGGUGCCUCAAGCAUAGCAAGCUUUUAAUAAAUGUAUGCUAUUAUAAGUACUAUUGAAAAUAAUUGAUCCUUUAAGUUAGUUUAAGUUUCUAUUGAAACUACAAAAUUAAUCCUCGAAAUGCUAAAAUGAAUUGCUUCAAACUAGGUACUUCAUGAGUUCUUCCUUCAUGAGUUCUCAAGUCUGGAUGUCCACUGGUUUAAAUUUUAGAAAGUUAAAACUGUAUAGCAAUUUUACUUAUUCUUAACGGAGGCGAAGACGGGAAUGUCUCAACUACAAUUCAAAGGAACACAUUUCUCUAAAAAUAUUUAUGAAAAGUGUAUCAGUGCCAAGAAUUGUGCUACCUUGGGGGAGGAAAUAAAAUAGGUAUAAUACUAGUCACUACUAAGCUUGUAGUGCACUGAAGAGAUAGCUAUCAAGAUGAGGGUGAAAUUUAAAAACAGUGAGUAUCCUGCAGUGGUAACAUAAGGUGCGUUCUGAACACAUAGCAGGGGGAGCGAAUUUCAAAUGGGCGGUAGACGAGUAUUACUAGAAGAGGAGAUAUACUGCUAAAACAAAAGAGUAAGAAUAGAUAUCACAGAGAUUAAUGUCCUAAAAUUACUGUAAUUAUACAAAAGAUUGCCCUGCUUCCAGGUGGCUCAUUCCUGUAAUCCCAGUACUUUGGGAGGCUGAGGCGGGUGGAUGAUCUGAGGUUGGGAGUUUGAGACCAGCCUGGCCAACAUGGUGAAAACCCAUCUCUACUAAAAAUACAAAAAUUAGCCAAGCAUGGUGACACGUGCCUGUAGUCCCAUCUAUUUGUGAGACUAAGGCAGGAGAAUAGCUUGAACCUGGGAGGUGGAGGUUGCAGUGAGCCAAGAUCGUGCCACUGCACUCCAGCCUUGGUGACAGCAAGAUUUCAUCUCAAAUAAAAAAAAAAAUUGCCCUGCUUUAGAAAAUAAACAUUAAAGUAUUUAUGGAAAAAGACAUCAUACUGUACCUGAAUCUUACUUUAAGCUAGUUCAAUAAAAUAUUAUGUGUAUACAGUAAUAUACUGCAGAAUGGUGUCCUGGACAAUUAUGAACUGCAUAUGUGAUGGUGGUUUCAACGCUUAUAAAUCUAUAUUUUUAGUGUAUGUUUUCUAUGUUUAGGUACACAAAUACCUCACCAUUGUGGUAUAACUGCUUACUGUAUUCAGCACAGUAACAUUCUGCACAGAUUUGUAGCCUAGGCACAGUAGGCUACACCAUAUAGACUAGAUGUGUAGUAGGCUAUACCAACUUGGUUUUUGUAAGUACAUUCUAUAAUGUUUAUACAACAAAAUCACCAAAAAGCCAAU
ensembl:lncRNA